ACGGGGCCCGCACAAGCGGUGGAUGAUGUGGAUUAAUUCGAUGCAACGCGAAAACCUUACCUACCCUUGACAUGUCUGGAACCUUGGUGAGAGCCGAGGGUGCCUUCGGGAGCCAGAACACAGGUGCUGCAUGGCUGUCGUCAGCUCGUGUCGUGAGAUGUUGGGUUAAGUCCCGCAACGAGCGCAACCCUUGUCACUAGUUGCCAUCAUUUAGUUGGGCACUCUAGUGAGACUGCCGGUGACAAACCGGAGGAAGGUGGGGAUGACGUCAAGUCCUCAUGGCCCUUAUGGGUAGGGCUUCACACGUCAUACAAUGGUCGGUACAGAGGGUUGCCAACCCGCGAGGGGGAGCUAAUCCCACAAAGCCGAUCGUAGUCCGGAUCGCAGUCUGCAACUCGACUGCGUGAAGUCGGAAUCGCUAGUAAUCGUGGAUCAGCAUGUCACGGUGAAUACGUUCCCGGGUCUU
rnacentral:rRNA from 1 species